rnacentral:miRNA from 1 species
CAACCUGGAGGACUCCAAGCUGU